GACGUAGGGCGCGAGCGUUGUCCGGAUUUAUUGGGCGUAAAGAGCUCGUAGGCGGCUUGUCGCGUCGUCCGUGAAAACUCGGGGCUCAACCCCGAGCUUGCGGUCGAUACGGGCAGGCUAGAGUUCGGUAGGGGAGACUGGAAUUCCUGGUGUAGCGGUGAAAUGCGCAGAUAUCAGGAGGAACACCGGUGGCGAAGGCGGGUCUCUGGGCCGAUACUGACGCUGAGGAGCGAAAGCGUGGGGAGCGAACAGG
rnacentral:rRNA from 1 species